AGCGGCUGGGAGCGAUCCCGGUAUCUGCACCAGGAUGGCCGAGUGGUUAAGGCGUUGGACUUAAGAUCCAAUGGACGCAUGUCCGCGUGGGUUCGAACCCCACUCCUGGGUAAUAUCAUUGCCUUUAAUACAUCAAAAGUGAGGGAAGUACAAAUCAAGACUGACACAUUUUUAAAUAUCAGUAUUUGUCAGAGCAUCCUGGUCAAAUUCUCAUACAGGUAAAUAUAGUUUUCUUAGCUACCCUGUUCCAAAUAAUUUGAGCUGAAAAAUUAUUCUAAAUUUUUAGUUCAAAUAUAACCUGUAAUUAUACCAACUAAUUAAAGGAUAAACACAAAAGACAUAACUCCUGGUGGGCCUUCUAUGAAAUAGAAGGUGAAAUAUGUCAGGAUAUUUUAUUACAUGCUGCAUAAAAUGAUCUGGCAUGAUAAAUGUGGGCAUGGUAUAAAAUAUGAUAGUCAAGAGGGAAUUAUGGAGAGAAGUGGAGUCUGUGGUGAAUUUCUAGGAAAUGCAAGUACCUGUGUUGUCUUUUUUGAGUGUUACCACAGUUAAAUUGUAAAUGCAAAACAUACCACACUUUCUAGAACUGUUCGUUAGAAAGCAGUACUGCUAGGUUCAGAUAUUUUAUGAAGUAAACAUUCAUUGCUAUUCUUCAUUAAGGUACAAAUUAGUUAAAAGUGGGUGCAUGUUUGAAGCUACAUUUUACCUGUAAUCCAAUGGUAAAAUGCUGCGCUUGGAAACCCACAUCUUUGCAUAUAAAUUGUGUAGUUUUGCUUCUGUGCUUCUCUAUGAACAUGUUUGUACAUACAAUAAGUGUUCAUGUAGAUUUUGUGGAUGCAGUGCUGAUCUUGAUGAAAAGUUGGUCCCAGCUAUGUGUCAGUUACAGGAUGAAUUAGUGGUGGCUAUUCUGAACUGUGAGAAAGAAAAACAGUAAAAAUAAUCACAGUUCUUACAAGAACAGUAAUCACUGAACAGAAAAAGAAGGCAGUGUUUAGGAUAAGGAAAUACAGAAAACUGGAUUUCUUGGUUAAAAUUGUUUCUGUUACAGGCACAGCCCUUUCCUUAAGAGACUUGUUUUGCAGAGAACUUUGCUCGGUCCUCUGGUGAACCUGUGUGUUUCCUGCUUCUUAUAACAGCUUGUUAGAGCACAUGCUGAUCUGGAAUGGAAUGGAAGAUUUUUUUUGAACCUUUUCUGCUCUGAAGAAAUACUCAUAAAAUCUACCUGCAACAAGGAUGUCCCAACCCCUUCCUAUGCUUCUCCAUAAAGGAAAGGUUAAUCUGUUGGGGUUAUUUGUUUCUAUUUUAGGUAAAGUGGCAGGGUGAUGUAUUGUGUUUUAAUUCUGGAGCUGACCAUGAUUUCAAGACUUUUACUUUAUUGAGCAAGUAUUUUUCUUAGGUUUUACUAGCUUCCUUGUUAAACCCUCAUGAAUUAUUGGUGGUUGCCCUUGCAAUGUGACAUUCUUACAUGCACUUGUUGUACUCUGGCCUUUAGUUCAAACAAUAUUGCUUUCCACUGGACUCCGUUCUGUGGAUGAGUUGUUUUUCUAAAAAGCAUCCUUGCCUUGUUUGUUGAGGAAAAUGGAAAAAGUAUAGUGACUAAUACUAGAAACUAGAAUAAAAAAGAAAGGAGAUUCAUAUGCUGACAGUUGAAUGCUACCCUGAUGAACCAGGACUGUUUUUCUUGCCUCUGCAUAUAUCCUGUUUGAUGAGAAGCCGGACAGUUAAAAUAGAUUUUUCAUAAGCCAUCAUUUGUUUUCAUGUUCCUUAUUUCAUGGUCUCCGCCUUGAGUACCUCAGUCUGAUUUGCAGAAAUGCAGAGCUUUUGCAAGCACAGGUGAAAUCAAUGUGUCACCUAUACUUUAAGCAGUCUCUGAAAAGAAUUGUAUUACUUGUCUCUGAGCAGUCAGAAUAACUUCAAGGAGAAGUUAUUGGAGAUACUUGGUGUUAAUCUUUCCAUGCCUCAAUUUCCUGUUGUAUAAAAUAGAGGUAAUAAAAAUACACCAUUUGCAAAAUGGGCUGCUAUGAAGUAAAUUCUUUCUUGUUUCUGAAGAUUUCAGAUGGGCUGCUUAGAUAAUUGGGUCAUGUUAGACAUCCCAUGAGUGAAUCCAGAAAAUAACAUGAAAUAGACAAGGCACAGAGCCACACUUUGAGCUGUGAAUACCCUGUAAAGUAUUGAUUACUGAACAACUGAUUGAAUAACUGAUUAGCCAGGAAGCACUGCAUAGUGUGUGCUGAACAAUGUGGGAGUCUUAUAGGAAAACAGCAAGCCAUAGUUUAACUCAAAAUUCUGUCUCACUUCAUAAACAGAAGGGGAUCAAAUCAAGAAGAAGGCAAACUAUUGGUGAAAUAUUAUUUAGAUGAUAUUUCAAAUUAGUUUAAUCCUUUUUAAAAACUUUCAGCAUCUCGAGUUGGUUUUUUUUCAGUUACAUUUUAGUGUGUGAUGGAAGUGUGUGAGUUGUUACUUGAGUUAAAUCAUUUUCCAUCAUUCCCAGUGACCAGGAUCUCAUAUUGAGGAAAAAUAUGUAAAAAGAGCUGCAAAGUUCUUAAUCUAUUACAUAAUGUAUGUAGGAUGAUCAGUAAACCCUCUGAUUUUCACAGCAGUCUAAUUUAAAGUAUAUCAAAUAGGAUUAGUCUCUUAUAUUAGCAGAAUUAACUGCAUGUUAAGUACUUGGUAAUUCUUGACUUGUUCUCAUUUUGGGACUUUUGUGGUAAAUAAGAGGGGUAGACUCUAUUUUCUGGAUUUUGUUCUCAGGAUGCUUGUUCAAAAAUUACCACUAUUUAGUGUAGACAGUUGUGUCAGUGUUUAUGCAUGUGUUUGCAUAGGUUCAUUUUCAACAAGUGCUGGGCUGUUCAUCUGCUGACUGCCUUCGAUCUUACCUACAGAUUCUUGGAAUCAUUUCUGUUGGACUUGAUAGCCAAAGCAACCAAGUGUCAUUAGCAGUGUUAGCUAAUUCUGCCUCCUUCUCCAGGGUAUUACAAUACACACUCCCAAGCAGAUCCUUGCACUGUUUUAUUGCUUAAUUAUUUUUCUCGGUUUUGAUAAGGAAAAUGAAGAGAUUUUCUGCUAGGUUGGUUCAGUCCAAGCAGCAAGCUCUGGGGGUUUGAGUUGUGGUAGUACAGGGAGCUCAACCAUCCUGACUGCGCUGUUGAUAGGACAGAACAAGGGCCUACAUAUCACUUACUGCAGAACAAAGCCCUUCAAUUAGUGCAGAUGGAGGUAGCUUUACUCUUAUGACUGACAGAUGAGCCCUUCAAGUCACGAUCAUUUAAAUCACCAUCAUGCCCAGCAUUACCCAGAGUAGGAUGGUCUGACAUAGCUAUCAGAAGAGACCAGGUGCCCACUCAGCUACUCCAGUUAUUGUCUGUUGUUUUAGCUCAAAGCCACCUUCGCUGGCAGAGCAAAGGGCAGUAGCUUUGCGCUGGAGUGAAGAGCUGUGGACACGUGUUCCUGUUUCCCAGUUUCUUUCAUCAGGAGGAAUAUAUACAGGUGGUAACAUUUUACAUCAGCACAGCAUUAUUACUGAAGGAUAUUACCUAAAGUGUCAAAAGACUGGCUAUGCACUAGAUCACCUCCAAUCUGCAAACAUUCUCCCUUGUGCUGGCUUAGCUGUGGUGGCAGCAGCCUCUUUCAGAGGGAUAGAACAUACAAGUCAUAAUUUACACUACAGCAGCAAGGUUUACCAGACUCUCUACUAAAUGAGGGGCCCUGAAUGCCCUAAAAUGAAGGCAGUAUAAUGCAGAAUAUUGAUGCUAAGAUUUCUGGGAUCUUAGGGCAUUGGGCUUAAAGUAUGCUAGCAGGCAUUUUCUGGGAUAUUUUUGGUAGACUUUAAUUUACCUGAAUGAAUUCUUUCUUCCUGACAGGGAAGAGCUUGGGUCUGAAGACUACAGAAAAUGUGCACACUCUUCUGAAAAUGGUUUUCUUAAAAGUGCAGCAACAAAAGUGCCUUCUUUCCCUUAAUGAUUUUGAGAGUGUAUUUUCCAGAUUCUUUAAUUUUCCUUGGUUGCUCCUUCUCUUUCGUCAUCUGCUGAACUCUGACCUUCUUUCUGGCUUGGAAGUGUUACAAGAUCUUUCCUUCAGACCUCAUCUGCUUCAUUUUUAAGUAUUUGUUGAAGUGGUUCGUGCAAUUCUUGGCAAGAGAUCACUCGCUGACCACGUGACUUAAUAGAUUUGUGACACCCGUCUCUUGCUAUUUCAUCAUGUGUUCCAAAUCUUUUCAUAUGAGAGUGGAAUCCCUGUUAGGAAGUAUGGACUGCAUUUAUGAGUGUUGUUUUACAGCUAAUCCACGUUCAAUGAUUGAUGAGCACAUGUAUUUUGUUUUCACUUGUCCUGUCUUAUAUCUCUGUAGUUAUUUUCUCUCACACUCCCAUCUUUUGCUUUUUAUGUGCAUACCAAGAAACAGAUUCAGCUGGUCUAAUGCUUAGCUGCUGCUGAAAGAGGCAGAGAUAAUGCCUUUCCCCAGCGCUGGCUGUUCUGCACAUUCCUACUGUUUACCUCUUGUGUCGCUCAGUCUUUGAUUGUCAAGUAAUAUGUCACUGAUCAUCACCAUUGGUCUACUCUGGCCUCCAAUCGGGAGGCCUGGAGACACACCAUCUCUAACGCUGCUGCUGCUUUUGAGAACACACGCAGGAUCACUCUCGAGGAGAAAAGACAAUGCAGAAAGAAUCGCGUCUCGUCGAUAUCACCUGGGGAGUCUUUCUGCUGUGCCUUCUGCAACCGGACUUGUCUAUCUCGCAUUGGCCUUUUUAACCAUCAGCGUGCUUGGAGCAAGCGUGGGCAGAGCCCCUCUCAAAUCUUCAUUCGCGAAGCCUAGCCAUGAAUAUGUCACAAACCAAUAAUUUUCAUGUCCCUUGGAUCUAGAGUUCAUCUCUUAGAUUAUCUCAUUAUAAGAAAUGUGGAAUUGGAGAGAAGUUUUGGGCUCCCUGAUAUAGGCAAUAUAGAUCCACUAACUGGUUUUAUUUAUCACAGAAUGGAAGAGGCUGAAAGGCCCCCCUGAAGAUCAUCUAGUCGACCUCCCAGCUCAGAGGAGGGUCAGCCUGAGCACUCAUGAGUUUUGAAUAUCUCCAAGGGUGAAGACUCUGGGCAACCCAUGCCAGUGUUUGACCACCCUCACAAGUAAAAAAUUGGGGGUUUUUAAUGUCUUAAAAAUAAGUGUUUUCUGCAGGUUAGACUACUGUAAGUUGAUCCAAGCUUUUCUUUAAAAUGGUCUGGGAGCUAUAGCUCCCAGACAUCCAUCCAAUGACAUCCAUCUGUUGAGCUGAGAGGAGGUAUUGCAACUGAUAGCACUCACCUUCAUCCAGUACUGUGGCUAAUUACUCCUCAUGCCUGAUACAGAGGUUGCCUCUGAAUGAGGAAUUGCAAAGCAUCAGCAUAGUUCAGAAAUCCCAUUUCUGUAAAGCUUUCCAAAUCCUUUUGUUACUAUACCAGAACAGAAAUAAUUGAUGUAUUUAAUUAUUAUGACUUCUAUCUUUUAUCAUAAUAUUUUGGAUUUUGUUUGUUUGUUUGUUUUGCAGUAUUAUUUGCUGUGAGAAUAGCUGACUCUUUGGCUACAUGUAGUUUUAAUGUUUAUUUAGCUAGCUUAAUAGCCAUGGUUUCCACAAUCUGUGUUUCGAUAGCACUAUGACAGUGCAGUCUAUAUCUAUGCCAGUUAACAAAUCCUGUAGUGUUCUGUGACUGAAAACAGACUGAGACAUGCCUAACCUGUUGUGCUGCAUUCAUUCGGGUGACCUGCCCCAAAAGUGAUUUGACACAUUAGUAAAGAAGAAAUACUGAAAGCAACUGGA